AUUGAACGCUGGCGGCAGGCUUAACACAUGCAAGUCGAACGAGUGGCGGACGGGUGAGUAAUUUCUGGGAAUCUAGCUUAUGGAGGGGGAUAACUACUGGAAACUGUAGCUAAUACCGCGUACCAUCGGAUGUGCCCAAGUGGGAUUAGGUAGUUGGUGAGGUAAUGGCUCACCAAGCCGACGAUCCCUAGCGGGUCUGAGAGGAUGACCAGCCACACUGGAACUGAGACACGGCCCAGACUCCUACGGGAGGCAGCAGUGGGGAAUAUUGCGCAAUGGGGGCAACCCUGACGCAGCCAUGCCGCGUGAGUGAAGAAGGCCUUCGGGUUGUAAAGUUCUUUCAGUGGGGAGGCGUUAACUGAAGAAGAAGCAACGGCUAACUCCGUGCCAGCAGCCGCGGUAAUUC
rnacentral:rRNA from 1 species